rnacentral:rRNA from 1 species
UACGUAGGGUGCGAGCGUUGUCCGGAUCUAUUGGGCGUAAAGAGCUCGUAGGCGGCUUGUCGCGUCGUUCGUGAAAACCCGGGGCUCAACUCCGGGCUUGCGGGCGAUACGGGCAGGCUAGAGUUCGGUAGGGGAGACUGGAAUUCCUGGUGUAGCGGUGAAAUGCGCAGAUAUCAGGAGGAACACCGGUGGCGAAGGCGGGUCUCUGGGCAGUUCCUGACACUGAGGCACGAAGGCCAGGGGAGCAAACGGG